rnacentral:lncRNA from 1 species
CACUGUCUAUGUGUCCUGACCCACCUUGCUUUAUCCCUCAGGGACUGGUAAUUGCUCAGACGAUUGCGCUCCCCAAACGGGACUCUAGCAACACAUCAGAGUACUCGGUAAUGUGUAUUAAGGUCUACGCUGAGUAUGGUAACACCAGGCAGCUUUCCAUAAUUGCAGAUUGAGACUGGCAGAGUUAUACACAGAUGCUUCAGGACUGCAGAUUUCUAUGAAGACCAGCACAAACAACACAGAGAAAUUAAUGCAGUCCUUUGAAGACACUUCCCGUGGAGCUUUUCUGUGGAGUUACAUCCAAAGGUUUCUCAGCUGCUUCCAAUAGCAGAGUCUGGACAUUAACAGAAGGGAUUUUUAGCAAGGACAACUCAAC